rnacentral:rRNA from 1 species
GAGUUUGAUCCUGGCUCAGGACGAACGCUGGUGGCGUGCUUAACACAUGCAAGUCGAACGGUGAAGCCCAGCUUGCUGGGUGGAUCAGUGGCGAACGGGUGAGUAACACGUGAGCAACCUGCCCUCCACUUCGGGAUAAGCCUUGGAAACGAGGUCUAAUACCGGAUACGAGCACUUACCGCAUGGUGGGUGUUGGAAAGGUUUUUCGGUGGGGGGAUGGGCUCGCGGCCUAUCAGCUUGUUGGUGGGGUAAUGGCCUACCAAGGCGUCGACGGGUAGCCGGCCUGAGAGGGCGACCGGCCACACUGGGACUGAGACACGGCCCAGACUCCUACGGGAGGCAGCAGUGGGGGAAUAUUGCACAAUGGGCGAAAGCCUGAUGCAGCGACGCCACGUGAGGGAUGACGGCCUUCGGGUUGUAAACCUCUUUCAGCAGGGAAGAAGCGCAAGUGACGGUACCUGCAGAAGAAGCGCCGGCUAACUACGUG